rnacentral:rRNA from 1 species
AUUGAACGCUGGCGGCAUGCUUUACACAUGCAAGUCGAACGGUAACAGGUUAAGCUGACGAGUGGCGAACGGGUGAGUAAUGCAUCGGAACGUGCCCGAUCGUGGGGGAUAACACUUCGAAAGAAGUGCUAAUACCGCAUACGAUCUGAGGAUGAAAGCGGGGGACCGUAAGGCCUCGCGCGAUCGGAGCGGCCGAUGUCAGAUUAGGUAGUUGGUGGGGUAAAGGCUCACCAAGCCGACGAUCUGUAGCUGGUCUGAGAGGACGACCAGCCACACUGGGACUGAGACACGGCCCAGACUCCGACGGGAGGCAGCAGUGGGGAAUUUUGGACAAUGGGCGCAAGCCUGAUUCAGCAAUGCCGCGUGCAGGAAGAAGGCCUUCGGGUUGUAAACUGCUUUUGUACGGAGCGAAAAGGCUCCCUCUAAUACAGGGGGCUCAUGACGGUACCGUAAGAAUAAGCACCGGCUAACUACGUGCCAGCAGCCGCGGUAA